rnacentral:rRNA from 1 species
AGUCGAACGGCAGCACGGGAGCAAUCCUGGUGGCGAGUGGCGAACGGGUGAGUAAUACAUCGGAACGUGUCCUGUAGUGGGGGAUAGCCCGGCGAAAGCCGGAUUAAUACCGCAUACGCUCUGCGGAGGAAAGCGGGGGAUCCUUCGGGACCUCGCGCUACAGGGGCGGCCGAUGGCAGAUUAGCUAGUUGGUGGGGUAAAGGCCUACCAAGGCGACGAUCUGUAGCUGGUCUGAGAGGACGACCAGCCACACUGGGACUGAGACACGGCCCAGACUCCUACGGGAGGCAGCAGUGGGGAAUUUUGGACAAUGGGCGAAAGCCUGAUCCAGCAAUGCCGCGUGUGUGAAGAAGGCCUUCGGGUUGUAAAGCACUUUUGUCCGGAAAGAAAACCUYCGWSUUAAUACCGUGGGGGGAUGACGGUACCGGAAGAAUAAGCACCGGCUAACUACGUGCCAGCAGCCGCGGUAAUACGUAGGGUGCAAGCGUUAAUCGGAAUUACUGGGCGUAAAGCGUGCGCAGGCGGUCCGCUAAGACAGAUGUGAAAUCCCCGGGCUUAACCUGGGAACUGCAUUUGUGACUGGCGGGCUAGAGUAUGGCAGAGGGGGGUAGAAUUCCACGUGUAGCAGUGAAAUGCGUAGAGAUGUGGAGGAAUACCGAUGGCGAAGGCAGCCCCCUGGGCCAAUACUGACGCUCAUGCACGAAAGCGUGGGGAGCAAACAGGAUUAGAUACCCUGGUAGUCCACGCCCUAAACGAUGUCAACUAGUUGUCGGGUCUUCAUUGACUUGGUAACGUAGCUAACGCGUGAAGUUGACCGCCUGGGGAGUACGGUCGCAAGAUUAAAACUCAAAGGAAUUGACGGGGACCCGCACAAGCGGUGGAUGAUGUGGAUUAAUUCGAUGCAACGCGAAAAACCUUACCUACCCUUGACAUGUAUGGAAUCUGGCUGAGAGGUCAGAGUGCCCGAAAGGGAGCCAUAACACAGGUGCUGCAUGGCUGUCGUCAGCUC